CCAUGCUGAGGCAUAAUCUGGGAAAGUUUGUUUAUAGAAGGCCAGCAAUUGCACAUGCAUACCAGACUCCCCUCUCCACACCACCGAUUUUAUCCAAAGGAAAGGCAAAGGCCAAUACAGAUUGGCACCAGUGAUAAUGCAACUCAUUUCUGCAGCUGAG